rnacentral:rRNA from 1 species
GAUGAACGCUGGCGGCGUGCCUAAUACAUGCAAGUCGAGCGAACAGACGAGGAGCUUGCUCCUCUGACGUUAGCGGCGGACGGGUGAGUAACACGUGGAUAACCUACCUAUAAGACUGGGAUAACUUCGGGAAACCGGAGCUAAUACCGGAUAAUAUAUUGAACCGCAUGGUUCAAUAGUGAAAGACGGUCUUGCUGUCACUUAUAGAUGGAUCCGCGCUGCAUUAGCUAGUUGGUAAGGUAACGGCUUACCAAGGCAACGAUGCGUAGCCGACCGGAGAGGGGGGUCGGCCACACUGGAAGUGGGACACGGUCCAGACUCCUACGGGAGGCAGCAGUAGGGAAUCUUCCGCAAUGGGCGAAAGCUUGACGGAGCAACGCCGCGUGAGUGAUGAAGGUCUUCGGAUCGUAAAACUCUGUUAUUAGGGAAGAACAGAUGUGUAAGUAACUGUGCACGUCUUGACGGUACCUAAUCAGAAAGCCACGGCUAACUACGUG